GACGAGUCCCAAACAGGACGAAACGCGCGUC
rfam:Schistosoma mattheei strain Denwood, Zambia genome assembly, scaffold: SMTD_scaffold0025711